rnacentral:rRNA from 1 species
CCUACGGGAGACAGCAGUGAGGAAUAUUGGUCAAUGGACGCAAGUCUGAACCAGCCAUGUCGCGUGAAGGAUGACGGCUCUAUGGGUUGUAAACUGCUUUUGUACGGGGGUAAACGCAGGUACGCGUAUCUGUCUGAAAGUAUCGUACGAAUAAGGAUCGGCUAACUCCGUGCCAGCAGCCGCGGUAAUACGGAGGAUUCAAGCGUUAUCCGGAUUUAUUGGGUUUAAAGGGUGCGUAGGCGGGCGGUUAAGUUAGUGGUGAAAUCCCGAGGCUCAACUUCGGAAGUGCCUCUGAUACUGGUCGGCUAGAGAGUAGUAGCGGUAGGCGGAAUGUGUGGUGUAGCGGUGAAAUGCUUAGAGAUCAUACAGAACACCGAUUGCGAAGGCAGCUUACCAAGCUACUUCUGACGCUGAGGCACGAAAGGGUGGGUAGCAAACAGGAUUAGAUACCCGAGUAGUC